CAGCAGCCGCGGUAAUACGGAGGGGGCUAGCGUUGUUCGGAAUUACUGGGCGUAAAGCGCACGUAGGCGGCUUGGUAAGUUAGAGGUGAAAGCCCGGAGCUCAACUCCGGAAUUGCCUUUAAGACUGCCGAGCUAGUAGGUGAGAGAGGUAAGUGGAAUUCCGAGUGUAGAGGUGAAAUUCGUAGAUAUUCGGAAGAACACCAGUGGCGAAGGCGGCUUACUGGCUCAUUCUAGACGCUGAGGUGCGAAAGCGUGGGAAGCAAACAGGAUUAGAUACCCCCGUAGUCCCUGUCUCUUAUAC
rnacentral:rRNA from 1 species